rnacentral:rRNA from 1 species
UUUAAUUGAAGAGUUUGAUCAUGGCUCAGAUUGAACGCUGGCGGCAGGCCUAACACAUGCAAGUCGAGCGGUAACAGGAAGUAGC